UCUUGUGAUGCCAGGUAUCUGAAAGCACAACCAUUGAGGACCUUGAAAAGGCAAAGGCACCUCUGCUUGACUACUUGGCCAAUGCAGGAUGUCUGAGGCCUCUUCGGUCAAUCAGAGACAGGGAUCUGCUGGUACAAGACGUCAUGUUUCAGGUCAUCCACAGGGUUCAAGGACCAUUCCAAAGAUUCCGUGAAGGACUGAAAACUCUGGGGGUUCUGGAGAAAAUCCAAAAACAUCCAGACAGCUUUCGCCCCCUGUUCUGCUAUGACUGCUGACCAGUUGGAUGAUCUUUUCGCCAUUCGUCUGUCACCAGAAGGGAGCAACAAGAGAGUUGUAGAGGAAGUGGUGAUUCCCUUUUGGAGAGACUAUCUUCAAGAUGCAGAAGAAGAAGGACCAUCUAAACUACAGAAGAUAUUGGCAUUCGCCACUGGAGCAUCUGUUGUCCCUCUAUUGGCUUUUCCCCAAGUCCGUCUGUUGAGUUCAUUCAUAAAGGAGAUGACGAUUUCUCUUCUACACCACUGUUCCCAAUGGCCAGCACCUGUGUUAACUGUAUCAGGUUGCCACUCCAUGCAUCAUACCAACUCUUUAAGGAGAAGUUUGACUUUGCCAUAGGAAACACAUAUGGGUUUGGCAGAGCCUGAAUGCCAUGUUUGUGUCUUUUAUGUUCUAUUCUAUUUAUUUACACAUUGUUCAUUAGUUUUACAGAAAGUUUGAACAAAACAUAGUUGAAAGGAAAACACAUUAACAUAGCCUCCUUACAGAAAGAUGUGGAGGAGUGAGGAAAACAAAUCAAUACCAUGGUUCCCAUCAUUUUCAACUGGAUUUACUUGUUGGAUCCUGUUCAUUGUGGCCUCAUUGAUUGUUAUUGUAAUGUCUGGAAUUGUAAUGUUGUUAUUAGUUUGAAGUUGCGGCAAAGGCUCGUGUUCAUUGACGUCAUACUCUGUGUCCAAAUGAAUAAUGUCAUUUAUAAUUGGUUCAAUUCCAAUGUUGUUAAUGACACCUGAAUGCCACAACUGAAGAGGUGUCUGGCCCCCUUGUGUCGAGAGGCCAUGGUUGUUCCACUGGUUAAUAAAUUCGGUCACAGCCUGCUGAAUUCUUGGCAAAUAAACAUAAUGCAGACAAAAAAGAUGUAGUUCAUUCAAUGAAUUAAGAAUACCUUGUUCUUCCAUGAAGUUAAAAAUGUUGAUGAAGUGUCUGCAAACAACUCUAUUGAGUUCUGCCCAUAGUCUUUCAAUUCUCUGAUUAUGAACUGAAACACCUGUAAUAACACUGUUCAGUCCCCUUCUUUCCAACAUAAAACGUGCAACAAGUAUAUUUUCCAUGCCAUGAUCACAUCUGACCCU